UAGAGUGAGGGGGUGACUAGUGACAGAGUGAGGGAAGGGGUGAUUAGUGGCAGAGUGAGGGAGGUGGUGACUUGACUGUCACUAGUCACCACCUCCCUCUGUCACUACUCCCUCCCUCCUUCUGUCACUAGUCACCCCCUCCGUCCCUUACUCUGUUACUAUUCACCCCCUCCCUCACUCGCUCACCAGUCAUCCCCUCCCUUUGUCACCAGUCAUCCGCUCACUCUGUCAACAGUCACCCCUUCCUUCCCUCACUCUGCCACUAGUCACCCCUUCCCUCACUC